UUACGACAUAUUGAUAAUAUUGUUAAUAAAUAUAUGUAAGUCUACACAUACAAUCACAACUUACAAAAUCACGUGAACAUACAUAAAAAAAUAUUUGAACUAGAAACACAGUACCUCCUACAUUUUUAGAAGUGGUUGAAAAUGAGGAUUCACUUUAUAGUUAUUGUAAAUAUUUUACUAUUACGGCAAGCAAUGUCGCAAUCGCCUAUACUGGAAUACUACACACAAAACAUAAAAUGCUAUUUUGGCUCUCCUUCAUUGACAAGUAUACCACAAUCUCGACCAAAAAUGCCAAUAUUACCACCAUUGGUUGCAUCUCCACGACUGUCAAGUCCAUUUUUGUCCCGGACGAAUGUUCCCAGUCCAAGGAAAUCAGUAUCGUUGAGUCCGUGCCCAUAUUUAGAUCCGUUCCUAACAGGACGAACUAUUGUUUUUAGCAAACCUAUUCCGCCACCGUUCAUUUGAGCUUAAAAUUGCGUAAUAAACUGUUUUAAUUAUA